CCUACGGGUGGCAGCAGUGGGGGAUAUUGGACAAUGGGGGAAACCCUGAACCAGCGACGCCGCGUGAGUGAAGAAGUAUUUCGGUAUGUAAAGCCCUGUCAGCAGGGAAGAAAGAAAUGACGGUACCUGACCAAGAAGCUCCGGCUAAAUACGUGCUAGCAGCCGCGGGAAUCAGUAGGGGGCAAGCGUUAUACGGAAUUACUGGGUGUAAAGGGAGCGUAGACGGUGAUGCAAGUCUGGAGGGAAAGGCGGGGGCCCAACCCCCGGACUGCUCUGGAAACUGUGUAACUUGAGUGCGGGAGAGGUAAGCGGAAUGCCUGGUGUAGCGGUGAAAUGCGUAGAUAUUAGGAGGAACACCAGUGGCGAAGGCGGCUUACUGGACUGUAACUGACGUUGAGGCUCGAAAGCGUGGGGAGCAAACAGGAUUAGAUACCCUGGUAGUC
rnacentral:rRNA from 1 species